UUUGACCUCGGAUCAGGUAGGAAUACCCGCUGAACUUAAGCAUAUCAAUAAGCGGAGGAAAAGAAACCAACAGGGAUUGCCCUAGUAACGGCGAGUGAAGCGGCAACAGCUCAAAUUUGAAAUCUGGCCUCGGCCCGAGUUGUAAUUUGCAGAGGAUGUUUCUGGCGCGGUGCCUUCCGAGUUCCCUGGAACGGGACGCCAAAGAGGGUGAGAGCCCCGUAUGGUCGGACACCAAGCCUGUGUGAAACUCCUUCGACGAGUCGAGUAGUUUGGGAAUGCUGCUCUA
rnacentral:rRNA from 1 species